UACGAAGGGGGCUAGCGUUGUUCGGAUUUACUGGGCGUAAAGCGUGCGCAGGCGGUUUUGUAAGUCUGAUGUGAAAUCCCCGGGCUCAACCUGGGAAUUGCAUUGGAGACUGCAAGGCUAGAAUCUGGCAGAGGGGGGUAGAAUUCCACGUGUAGCAGUGAAAUGCGUAGAGAUGUGGAGGAACACCGAUGGCGAAGGCAGCCCCCUGGGUCAAGAUUGACGCUCAUGCA
rnacentral:rRNA from 1 species